UACGUAGGGUGCGAGCGUUGUCCGGAAUUAUUGGGCGUAAAGGGCUCGUAGGCGGUUUGUCACGUCGGGAGUGAAAACUCGGGGCUCAACCCCGAGCCUGCUUCCGAUACGGGCAGACUAGAGGUAUGCAGGGGAGAACGGAAUUCCUGGUGUAGCGGUGAAAUGCGCAGAUAUCAGGAGGAACACCGGUGGCGAAGGCGGUUCUCUGGGCAUUACCUGACGCUGAGGAGCGAAAGUGUGGGGAGCGAACAGG
rnacentral:rRNA from 2 species